GGGGCUGUAGUGUAACUUGGUUAUCACCCAUGGUUCGGGGCCAUGUAAUCGGAGUUCAAAUCUUCGCAGCCCCA
rnacentral:tRNA from 1 species